rnacentral:misc_RNA from 1 species
GAUGAAGAACGUAGCGAAAUGCGAUAAGUAAUGUGAAUUGCAGAAUUCAGUGAAUCAUCGAAUCUUUGAACGCACAUUGCGCCCGCCAGUAUUCUGGCGGGCAUGCCUGUCUGAGCGUCAUUUCAACCCUCAUGCCCCUAGGGCGUGGUGUUGGGGAUCGGCCAAAGCCCGCGAGGGACGGCCGGCCCCUAAAUCUAGUGGCGGACCCGUCGUGGCCUCCUCUGCGAAGUAGUGAUAUUCCGCAUCGGANNNNGAUGAGCCCCUGCCGUUAAACCCCCAACUUUCCAAGGUUGACCUCAGAUCAGGUAGGAAUACCCGCUGAACUUAAGCAUAUCAAUAAGCGGAGGA